CCUCCGACAAACCCUGAUUUCCGUGUCCAACGUUUGACCGUCCGUCUUAUUUAAAAAAAAUUUAAAUGAUAAGUCACGCAUAAAAUAUUAAUCAUGUUUUAUCAUCUAACAAUAAUGAAAAUACUAAUUAUAAAAAAAUUUCAUAUAAGACGGACAGUCAAACGUUGACACGGGAAGCCACAGUUUGCCUUUUU
rfam:Oryza sativa Japonica Group DNA, chromosome 3, cultivar: Nipponbare, complete sequence.